UCGUUGGGAUUCCCAGGGAAAGGGCCUUAUUCCAGAAAAUCUGGGUAUAAUUCACAAAUCAUGCCCAAGUAGAAAACGGGGGUGGGGGGGGAGGAAAUUUUCUAUCCUGAAAGAAAAGCCUGCUGGUUGGAACUUUCUUACUAUUAGAGGUGUCAACCAACUUGUGAGAAGGUGAGCUCCCUGUAACCACUGGUUCAGAAAGAUCAGGAUGAAGAGGACCUGUGUGCUUAGGACCUCUCUGUCUAACACGAGGCUUUGCAGGUUUUGGAGUGACAGACUUGGAGAGUGCUGCCACCUGUUUUGACAGGACAAUCCAUGGAAAGGAAGCAAACAUCAUCCAGAGACAAAAUAUUCCCUGGGAAAGAGAUACCCAUCAAGACUAAAAUGGCAAGCUGGGGAUGUGGCUCAAGCGAUAGAGCGCUCGCCUGGCAUGCGUGCGGCCUGGGUUGGAUCCUCAGCACCACAUAAAAACCAAG